GUCUAUGGCCAUGCUACCCUGAACAAGCCCGAUCCCAUCUGAUCUUGGAAGCUAAGCAGGGUCAGGCCUGGUUAGUACUUGGAUGGGAGACCACCUAGGAAGACCAAGUACUGUAGGCA
rnacentral:rRNA from 1 species